rnacentral:rRNA from 1 species
UACGUAGGGUGCAAGCGUUGUCCGGAAUUAUUGGGCGUAAAGAGCUCGUAGGCGGUUCGUCGCGUCGGCUGUGAAAACCUGAGGCUCAACCUCAGGCCUGCAGUCGAUACGGGCGGACUUGAGUACUGCAGGGGAGACUGGAAUUCCUGGUGUAGCGGUGAAAUGCGCAGAUAUCAGGAGGAACACCGGUGGCGAAGGCGGGUCGCUGGCUCGUAACUGACGCUCAGGCGCGACAGCGUGGGGAUCAAACAGG